rnacentral:rRNA from 1 species
UACGUAGGUGGCAAGCGUUGUCCGGAAUUACUGGGUGUAAAGGGCGUGUAGGCGGGUGACCAAGUCAGAUGUGAAAUUCCGGGGCUUAACUCCGGCGCUGCAUCUGAAACUGGACAUCUUGAGUGCUGGAGAGGAAAGCGGAAUUCCUAGUGUAGCGGUGAAAUGCGUAGAUAUUAGGAGGAACACCAGUGGCGAAGGCGGCUUUCUGGACAGUAACUGACGCUGAGGCGCGAAAGCGUGGGGAGCAAACAGGAUUAGAUACCCUGGUAGUCCACGCCGUAAACGAUGGAUACUAGGUGUAGGAGGUAUCGACCCCUUCUGUGCCGGAGUUAACGCAAUAAGUAUCCCGCCUGGGGUGUACGGUCGCAAGACUGAA